rnacentral:rRNA from 1 species
UACGAAGGGGGCUAGCGUUGCUCGGAAUCACUGGGCGUAAAGGGUGCGUAGGCGGGUCUUUAAGUCAGGGGUGAAAUCCUGGAGCUCAACUCCAGAACUGCCUUUGAUACUGAGGAUCUUGAGUUCGGGAGAGGUGAGUGGAACUGCGAGUGUAGAGGUGAAAUUCGUAGAUAUUCGGAAGAACACCAGUGGCGAAGGCGGCUCACUGGCCCGGUACUGACGCUGAUAUACGAAAGCGUGGGGAGUAAACAGG